GAUGGAGGCUCUCUCUCUGUGCAACUGGGGGUGUGGUGAUGCAAAUAUCCUUCUGGCCACCGCCACUGGGGCCGUGCUGGGUCAGACCUGAAGGCAGCACAGCACUGGAUUUCACCUGAGGCCCUCUAUAAUCACUACCCGGCUGCCACCUAUGUUCACUCAAGACCCUAUGUUCAUUCAACGGCUCUAUAAUCAGCAGAUGGCAAAUCCAGCCAGGUUCAUGUGCUUCCCUUCAGGAUGAAUGCCCUCCUUCAAGGCAGAGUGUAUGUGUGUAAAAGGCAAUUCUGUUCAAUCGUCCAAGGUGACAAUCCAGCUGCCUGAUUCUUGAAGCCACUUGAUUUUGGCAGGAGUGUGUGACUCCACCUCAACCCACUCCCCUUCCAAGAAAUAAAAAUAACUCCACUGUGCUUGGGCUGUCACCAGUUCACCAGACUCCAGGGAAGCUCCUGUCUGUGAUGUCGCAUUCAUUUCUGAAUGCUGGCAUUGUACUUUGAAAUUCCCAAACAAAAUGCACAGAGAAACACCAGGUGAAUAACAAUGAAACCAGCAGCAUUUAUUUUUGUGCGUGGCAGUCUCAGCUACAUUUUUGUAAAAGACCUUUUUGCCAAAAUUAGUUUAGGUUUCAAGUCACGUUUCACCCUCAGUCAAAUAUAAAGGUCACUCAGUGAACAAAGGGGAGAUUGUGUAUUCUUGGUGAUCACAGAUGAAGCUGGAAAGGCAGCCUCUUUCAAACAAAAUGAGGUAGUUAAGUGGAAAAUGAAGGCGGCGAAUUCUAUAGAGCAGCGCUCAACAACAAGGGAUGCUGGCGUUUUUUUUCUUGACAUAAACACAAUAACACAUAGAGAAAAGCCUAACAGAGAGGAGAGUGACCCAGGUGCUGUAUAAACAGAUUUUCAGACAGGCAGUUGGAGCCCCGUGGUAUGUUUAGUUUCUCCCACUCCCUGCUACUUUAUCCUUUGUCAGAUUCAAUACAGCCUUCAAGGGCACUGGAGGCAGAAGAAAGAGAAAAAUGCCUGGGGAAGGGAAAAGGGGAGGGGGAGAAAACAGUCUCCUCUCCUAGCCUUUGUUAAAGAAUAAAAGCGCAAAACGUGUAAAAAUCAUUUACUCUCUACCCGACAGUGCCAACAUGUUUGACACUGGUUUGCUAGAGCUUAUAGAGAAACUCUGUUGACAUUUUAUUCACAUAAGAGUUUUGAAUUAUAUAAGGCUUUUUGAGAUGCGCUGUUGGAUAUAAUCUGAAUAGUCAAGCUUAGGGGGGGAGAAAAACCACAUAACACCCAGUAACUCUUAAAUGUUUAUAUAAAUCCCAAAGUGGAAAGAAAGGAUAAAAUGGUAAGAACAAAAAUAUUUGCUUAUUCUUAGACAGCAACCUAAUACACCUGUGUCAAAAAUAAAAAUUACACUUUGAAAAGGACAUGCAAAUGCCCAACUUUUUCCCAGAGCUUCUCUCUUAUCCUUUAGGUAAGGGAACUUAGGACUUAAAUAUAAUAAGCAAACACAGCGGGAUUCAAGAGAUUCUGUCCUUCUGCAGGUGAUACAUUUUGAUACUUUAUUUUCUUUUGACAAAUGCACAUAUAUUUUUAAUUAAGUACAUCUAUUCAUUGCAGUGAAAUUAGAACGUACAGAUAAAGAAAAAACAAACACGUCUAACCUUACUUUUCAGAUAAUCAUAGUUAAAAUUUUUCUAUAUUUUAAAUACUUUUUCUAUGUGCAUACAAUAUGCAUAAUACAUACAUACACAUACUAUAAAAUUAAAAUAUUCAGUUUAUGUUGUUUUGCAAUCUGUUCAAUAAAAUAUGUUGUAUACUCAUU
rnacentral:lncRNA from 1 species